AUGCGUCAAGUACAAGAGCUUCUCGACAAAGGAGGCAUUAAUAAUAUUACUAUUCGUUAUCGUCAUCCUAUUCCUAGGCUAGAUGAUAUGCUUGAUGAAUUGAGUGGCUCUACAAUAUUCUCCAAAGUUGAUUUGCGUAGUGGAUACCAUCAAAUUCGUAUGAAAUUGGGAGAUGAAUGGAAAACAGCAUUCAAAACUAAGUUUGGAUUAUAUGAGUGGUUAGUCAUGCCUUUUGGGUUAACUAAUGCACCUAGUACUUUCAUGAGAUUAAUGAACGAAGUUUUACGUGCUUUCAUUGGACGAUUUGUGGUAGUUUACUUUGAUGAUAUAUUGAUUUAUAGCAGAUCUUUGGAAGAACAUUUGGAACAUUUACGUGCUGUUUUUAUUGCUCUACGUGAUGCACGUUUGUUUGGUAACCUUGGGAAGUGCACCUUUUGCACCGACCGAGUAUCUUUUCUUGGCUAUGUUGUUACUCCACAGGGAAUUGAAGUUGAUAAAGCCAAGAUUGAAGCUAUUGAGAGUUGGCCGCAACCCAAAACGGUCACACAAGUGAGGAGUUUUCUUGGCCUCGCUGGAUUCUAUAGGCGUUUUGUGAGAGAUUUCAGCACCAUUGCUGCACCUCUCAAUGAGCUUACAAAGAAAGAUGUGCCUUUUCUUUGGGGUACCGCACAGGAAGAAGCUUUCUCGGUAUUGAAAGAUAAGUUGACACAUGCUCCUUUACUCCAACUUCCUGAUUUUAAUAAGACUUUUGAGCUUGAAUGUGAUGCUAGUGGAAUUGGAUUAGGCGGUGUGUUAUUACAAGAUGGCAAACCUGUUGCAUGCUUUUCGGAAAAAUUGAGUGGGCCUAGUCUGAAUUAUUCUACUUAUGAUAAAGAAUUAUAUGCUCUUGUUCGGACUUUAGAAACAUGGCAACAUUAUUUAUGGCCCAAAGAAUUUGUUAUACAUUCUAAUCAUGAAACUUUGAAACAUAUUAAAAGUCAAGCUAAACUGAAUCGUAGACAUGCUAAAUGGGUUGAAUUCAUUGAGACUUUUCCUUAUGUCAUUAAACACAAGAAGGGAAAAGAAAAUGUUAUUGCUGAUGCAUUGUCUCGUCGCUAUACUAUGCUUUCACAACUUGACUUCAAAAUAUUUGGUUUGGAGACCAUCAAAGAUCAAUAUGUGCAUGAUGUUGAUUUUAAAGAUGUAAUGCAGAAUUGUAAAGAAGGAAGAAUCUGGAACAAGUUCGUCGUUAACGAUGGAUUUGUGUUUCGUGCUAACAAGCUAUGCAUUCCAGCUAGCUCCGUUCGUCUUUUGAUGUUGCAGGAGGCGCAUGGAGGAGGAUUAAUGGGACACUUUGGCGUGAAGAAGACGGAGGACGUACUUGCUACACAUUUCUUUUGGCCAAAGAUGAGACGGGAUGUUGUGCGGAUGUUUUGA
rnacentral:rRNA from 1 species